GACGAACGCUGGCGGCGUGCUUAACACAUGCCAGUCGAGCGGUAAGGCCUCUUCGGGGGUACACGAGCGGCGAACGGGUGAGUAACACGUGGGUGACCUGCCCUCAGCUCUGGGAUAAGCCUGGGAAACUGGGUCUAAUACCGGAUAUGACCACAUGUUGCAUGGUGUGUGGUGGAAAGUUUUUUCGGCUGGGGAUGGGCCCGCGGCCUAUCAGCUUGUUGGUGGGGUGAUGGCCUACCAAGGCGACGACGGGUAGCCGGCCUGAGAGGGCGACCGGCCACACUGGGACUGAGACACGGCCCAGACUCCUACGGGAGGCAGCAGUGGGGAAUAUUGCGCAAUGGGCGGAAGCCUGACGCAGCGACGCCGCGUGGGGGAUGACGGCCUUCGGGUUGUAAACCUCUUUCGACCGGGACGAAGCGUAAGUGACGGUACCGGUAGAAGAAGCACCGGCCAACUACGUG
rnacentral:rRNA from 1 species